rnacentral:SRP_RNA from 2 species
GCCGGGUGUGGUGGUGCAUGCCUGUAAUCCCAGCUACUUGGGAGGCUGAGGCGGGAGGAUUGCUUGAACCCGGGAGGUGGAGGUUGCAGGAUCCGAGAUCACACCACUGCACUCCAGCCUGGGUGACAGAGCAAGACUCCGUCUCAA